rfam:Pleurocapsa sp. PCC 7327, complete genome.
CCUGGUGUCGCGAGCGCUCUGGUUCCACUUCGACUCCAUCCCGAACUCGAAAGUGAAACGGAGCAGCGGCGAAGAUACUGGUCGGGUCGCUGACUGGGACAAUAGUUCGAUGCCAGGU